rnacentral:rRNA from 1 species
AUUGAACGCUGGCGGCAUGCCUUACACAUGCAAGUCGAACGGUAACGCGGGGCAACCUGGCGACGAGUGGCGAACGGGUGAGUAAUGCAUCGGAACGUGCCCAGUAGUGGGGGAUAACUGCUCGAAAGAGCAGCUAAUACCGCAUACGACCUGAGGGUGAAAGCGGGGGAUCGCAAGACCUCGCGCUAUUGGAGCGGCCGAUGUCGGAUUAGCUAGUUGGUGGGGUAAAGGCCUACCAAGGCAACGAUCUGUAGCUGGUCUGAGAGGAUGAUCAGCCACACUGGGACUGAGACACGGCCCAGGCUCCUACGGGAGGCAGCAGUGGGGAAUUUUGGACAAUGGGGGCAACCCUGAUCCAGCCAUUCCGCGUGAGUGAAGAAGGCCUUCGGGUUGUAAAGCUCUUUCGGCAGGAACGAAACGGUGAGCUCUAACAUAGCUUGCUAAUGACGGUACCUGAAGAAGAAGCACCGGCUAACUACGUGCCAGCCGCCGCCGUAACAC